GGUUAUACCAAGUGAUUAAGUUAUAUUUUUAGGUAAAAAGACAGUUAGGUUUAUAUAGAGUAAAUUUUAGUUUAUUGAACACCUAUAAAAAAGUAAAAUUUGGAUAUAGAUAGCUAAUUUAAAAAUGACUAAAUAAUACUGAAGCUGUGAUAAUCUUGAGGGAAACUGGGAUUAGAUACCCCAUUAUUCUUGAUUUUAAAUAGAAUUAAAUUUACCAGAGUACUAUGAAUAGUUAAAAAAUUUAAAACUCAAAGGGCUUGGCGGUGUUUUAGACCCAUCAGGGGAACCUGUCUCAUAAUCGACAAUCCGCGUAGUAUCUAACCUUAUUUUGUAAUCAGUUUGUAUACCGUCGUCGUCAGGUAACUUUUAAAAAUAUAGAAGUUAGCAAUUAAAAUUAUUUUGAAUUAAGACGUCAGAUCAAGGUGCAGCCCAUAGUAAGGAGAGGAUGGGUUACAAUUAUAAGAAUCAUAAUCACGGAAAUUUAAAUGGAACUUAUUUUGAAGGAGGACUUGAAAGUAAACUAGAAUACAUAAAUAGUUUGAAUAAGGCUCUG
rnacentral:rRNA from 2 species